AUAGGGAUUCCCACCUCUUCUGUUAAAACGCUGCAUGGUGCACAGAAACAAAUGAAGUUCUUCUCCAUGAGAAUUGGACCCAAAAACCUGUAGCCUUUUACAAAAAUUACCCUGCUACAAGCCUUCCCCAACUACUUACAUUUGCAGUUGUGCAAUGUCCUCUCCUCAGAAGGAAAUCAUCCAAUUAGACUAACAGCUGCAGAGAUUGUAACAAGCCUUGCAUAUUAGAAAAUUAAAGAAAAUGCAGCUGAGUAUGGAAAGG
rnacentral:lncRNA from 1 species